UACGAAGGGGGCUAGCGUUGUUCGGAUUUACUGGGCGUAAAGCGCACGUAGGCGGAUUGUUAAGUGAGAGGUGAAAUCCCGGAGCUCAACUCCGGAACUGCCUUUCAUACUGGCAAUCUAGAGUCCGGAAGAGGUGAGUGGAACUCCUAGUGUAGAGGUGGAAUUCGUAGAUAUUAGGAAGAACACCAGUGGCGAAGGCGGCUCACUGGUCCGGUACUGACGCUGAGGUGCGAAAGCGUGGGGAGCAACAGGAUUAAGAAACCCCGGUGAGCCAG
rnacentral:rRNA from 1 species